rnacentral:tRNA from 1 species
GCAUAUAUAAUUUAACCAAAAUAUUAGAUUGUGAAUCUAAACACAGGAGCUUAACCCUCCUUAUAUGCC